rnacentral:tRNA from 1 species
GCACCCAUAGCUCAGCUGGAUAGAGCGUUGCCCUCCGAAGGCAGAGGCCAGAGGUUCGAAUCCUCUUGGGUGCGCCA